rnacentral:rRNA from 1 species
AUUGAACGCUGGCGGCAUGCCUUACACAUGCAAGUCGAACGGCAGCACGGGGCAGCCUGGUGGCGAGUGGCGAACGGGUGAGUAAUGCAUCGGAACGUACCUUUCAGUGGGGGAUAACGUAGCGAAAGUUACGCUAAUACCGCAUAUUCUGUGAGCAGGAAAGCAGGGGAUCGCAAGACCUUGCGCUGAUUGAGCGGCCGAUGUCAGAUUAGCUAGUUGGUGAGGUAAAGGCUCACCAAGGCGACGAUCUGUAGCGGGUCUGAGAGGAUGAUCCGCCACACUGGAACUGAGACACGGUCCAGACUCCUACGGGAGGCAGCAGUGGGGAAUUUUGGACAAUGGGGGCAACCCUGAUCCAGCCAUGCCGCGUGAGUGAAGAAGGCCUUCGGGUUGUAAAGCUCUUUCGGCCGGGAAGAAAUCGCACGGGCUAAUACCCUGUGUGGAUGACGGUACCGGAAUAAGAAGCACCGGCUAACUACGUGCCAGCCGCCGCCGUAAUAC